UUGGUGGGUUUUUUUAACCUUAUCUAUGAAACCCACAUGGUAAACUCCCAUGACGUUCACUUUAUCUUCUUUAAAAAGAUGAUGGGACAAGCUGACCCUGACAAGGUUCAGUUGUAGAGUUUAAAGCAACUAAGUGAAUUCACAGGAUCUUCAGCAGACAGUACAACUGAUGCAGUCAGAGGUACUCCUAAACAAAAUCAGAUUAAGAGAAGAGGAGCAUCUUGUUCCAGUAAUGCUGUACCUGGGAGCAAGAGGUUUUUCUAUAAUAAAAGAAUCCUUAUCCAGGUUUGAAGUUUUUCUGCCAUGGGAUGGACUCCACAAUGGGGAAAAAGGGAAUAUGAGGCUUAAUGCUUUCUGCUGGCUCGAGGUUGACGAGGCUCCUUAUGCUUUUGCACCCUGAGAAAUAUCUGGAUCUGGCAUUAUUCUACAUUAUUCUACAUUAGUAUUUCAUUCACAUUCCUUACAAUUAUUGCAGUGAAAUACACAGUUUGGGAAUUUGGUAAAAGAAAGUGAAGAAAAUACAUAGCAGAUUUCUGUACAUACUCUGUAAUGUUUGUCCAAUCUCAUAAAAUAUUACUGUUGGGAAGGAAUCAGUUUUCUGCAUGCCAUGUGCAGUUUGUGAUAUUGAUCAUGCAACUGAGUCAAUUAAAGGAGACAUAGCUCUGUUAAAACUGGAAAAGUACUAUUGUCACCUGUGCUAUACUCUGUAAAAUCAGAAGAUUUACAUUUGUUCAGUUUGAUAUCUCACUUGUCUUUGCAAACCACAGGCUAUACCUGCAAUCCCCUAGCAUAACCUAGGUUUUUAAUUUCCAGUUGUGAAUACAUAAACUACUGAAUCAAGUCAGCAUUAUAUUUAGCUUAGCAGGGCCUGUAUCAUAGGUCACAGAUCUGAUGCUCUUGAGUUGGAACUGAGAGGAUCCUGCCAUAAAAUAUUUUCAUUACAGCUUUAUGGUUCAAAACACAGACACAUGCUCCACGCUGCUGUCCAUAGAUGGGGUUUGCUUAUGUUGCACUUUGUGAUAGCCCAUGUAGUGAAAUUUUAGUACUUUGGGAUAAGUGAGCAGUUAAGGACUCUAAUUUCCAAUGCAAUUAAUGAGCAGUGUUAAGGUGUGUGUACAGUAGGCUUUUAUGAACAGCUAUCAGAAAGAAUGCUUACAGCACCUGAACAGAAUAGAAUAAAUAAUUAUUUGGACUAUUCACUCUAAGUGUGGAUAAAUAAUGUAUACAUGAUAAUUGAUACAUAAAUUUAAAAUUCAGAAAUGACAGGAACAAAACCAUUUAAUGAAUCUCUUCCACAAUACUAUAAAGUCAAUACAUGAAGGGUUUCCUGAGCAAACUCUUAGUUCUGUAUUGGGAUACAAGGGUCUUUCC